CUGGGAGAUAAGGCAGACAUCCUGAGACAACAACACCACAGUAUUGAAUCAACUCGCAGACUCUGCUGCCUCCAGAUUGAUGAUGCAGUAUCACUCGACAACCUCCAGAAACUGAAAGUGGCAUUUGAGGAAUAUGAAACGCGUGGCUUGAGGUCCAUUGAUGCGAAGAGUUUUGGACGCAUA